GAUGAACGCUGGCGGCGUGCCUAACACAUGCAAGUCGAACGGACAUUUUUUGGAAAGCUCUUCGGAACUGGAAUCUAAAUGUUAGUGGCGGACGGGUGAGUAACGCGUGAGCAAUCUGCCUUUCAGAGGGGGAUAACAGCCGGAAACGGCUGCUAAUACCGCAUAAUGCAUUGGAUUCGCAUGUUUCUGAUGCCAAAGAUUUUAUCGCUGAAAGAUGAGCUCGCGUCUGAUUAGCUAGUUGGCAGGGUGAUAGCCUACCAAGGCGACGAUCGGUAGCCGACCUGAGAGGGUGAUCGGCCACAUUGGAACUGAGAUACGGUCCAA
rnacentral:rRNA from 1 species